UACAGAGGUCCCGAGCGUUGUUCGGAUUCACUGGGCGUAAAGGGCGCGUAGGUGGUUCUGUAUGUCUACCGUGAAAGCGUACGGCUCAACCGUAUUUUGUCGGUGGAAACUGCAGGACUUGAGGCUGGGAGGGGCUGGUGGAAUUCCCUGUGUAGCGGUGAAAUGCGUAGAGAUGUGGAGGAACACCAGUGGCGAAGGCGACUUUCUGGCUUAUAACUGACGCUGAGGCGCGAAAGCGUGGGGAGCAAACAGG
rnacentral:rRNA from 1 species